rnacentral:rRNA from 1 species
GACGAACGCUGGCGGCAUGCCUAAUACAUGCAAGUCGAGCGAACAGAUGAAGUGCUUGCACUUCUGACGUUAGCGGCGAACGGGUGAGUAACACGUAAGGAAUCUACCUAUAAGCGGGGGAUAACAUUCGGAAACGGGUGCUAAUACCGCAUAAUAUCUUCUUCCGCAUGGAAGAAGAUUGAAAGACGCCUCUGCUGUCACUUAUAGAUGACCUUGCGGUGCAUUAGUUAGUUGGUGGGGUAAGGGCCUAACAAGACGAUGAUGCAGAGCCGACCUGAGAGGGUGAUCGGCCACAUUGGGACUGAGACAACGCCCAAACUCCUACGGGAGGCAGCAGUAGGGAAUCUUCCGCAAUGGGCGAAAGCCUGACGGAGCAAUGCCGCGUGAGUGAAGAAGGCCUUCGGGUCGUAAAACUCUGUUAUAAGAGAAGAACAAAUUGUAGAGUAACUGCUACAGUCUUGACGGUAUCUUAUCAGAAAGCCACGGCUAACUACGUGCCAGCAGCCGCGGUAA